rnacentral:rRNA from 1 species
CAGCAGCCACGGGAAUACGGAGGGUGCAAGCGUUAAUCGGAAUUACUGGGCGUAAAGCGCACGCAGGCGGUCUGACAAGUCAGAUGUGAAAUCCCCGGGCUUAACCUGGGAACUGCAUUUGAAACUGUCAGGCUGGAGUCUUGUAGAGGGGGGUGGAAUUCCAGGUGUAGCGGUGAAAUGCGUAGAGAUCUGGAGGAAUACCGGUGGCGAAGGCGGCCCCCUGGACAAAGACUGACGCUCAGGUGCGAAAGCGUGGGGAGCAAACAGGAUUAGAUACCCGUGUAGUCCCUGUCUCUUAUAA